AACGAACGCUGGCGGCAGGCUUAACACAUGCAAGUCGAACGGGUGUAGCAAUACAUCAGUGGCAGACGGGUGAGUAACACGUGGGAACCUUCCUAGGGGUACGGAACAACUCAGGGAAACUUGAGCUAAUACCGUAUACGUCCGUGAGGAGAAAGAUUUAUCGCCCUUAGACGGGCCCGCGUCGGAUUAGCUAGUUGGUGGGGUAACGGCAUACCAAGGCGACGAUCCGUAGCUGAUCUUAGAGGAUGAUCAGCCACACUGGGACUGAGACACGGCCCAAACUCCUACGGGAGGCAGCAGUGGGGAAUCUUGCGCAAUGGGCGAAAGCCUGACGCAGCCAUGCCGCGUGAAUGAUGAAGGUCUUAGGAUUGUAAAAUUCUUUCACCGGGGACGAUAAUGACGGUACCCGGAGAAGAAGCCCCGGCUAACUUCGUGCCAGCCGCCGCGGUAA
rnacentral:rRNA from 1 species